GUGCCAGCAGCCGCGGUAAUACGUAGGAGGCGAGCGUUAUUCGGAUUUACUGGGUGUAAAGCGCUGGCAGGCGGAUCGGUAAGUUGGAUGUGAAAGCUCCCGGCUUAACUGGGAGAGGUCGUGCAAAACUACCGAUCUUGAGUACAGUAGAGGGAAGUGGAAUUCCGGGUGUAGUGGUGAAAUUCGUAGAUAUCCGGAGGAACACCAGUGGCGAAGGCGGCUUUCUGGAAGGUAACUGACGAUGA
rnacentral:rRNA from 1 species